GACAGAGGGUGCGAACGUUGUUCGGAAUUACUGGGCGUAAAGCGCGUGUAGGCGGCAGCGCAAGUCGGGCGUGAAAUCCCACGGCUCAACCGUGGAAGUGCACUCGAAACUGCGCAGCUAGAGUCCUGGAGAGGAAGGUGGAAUGCUUGGUGUAGAGGUGAAAUUCGUAGAGAUCGGAAAGAACAUCGGUGGCGAAGGCGGCCGCCUGGGCCAAGACUGACACUGAGGUGCGAAAGCGUGGGGAGCAAACAGG
rnacentral:rRNA from 1 species